rnacentral:tRNA from 1 species
AAGGGUAUAGCUCAGUGGUAGAGUGCGUGCUUAGCAUGCACAAGGUCCUGGGUUCAGUCCCCAGUACCUCCU